rnacentral:rRNA from 1 species
AGUGAACGCUGGCGGUAGGCCUAACACAUGCAAGUCGAACGGCAGCACAGUAAGAGCUUGCUCUUACGGGUGGCGAGUGGCGGACGGGUGAGGAAUACAUCGGAAUCUACUUUUUCGUGGGGGAUAACGUAGGGAAACUUACGCUAAUACCGCAUACGACCUACGGGUGAAAGCAGGGGAUCUUCGGACCUUGCGCGAUUGAAUGAGCCGAUGUCGGAUUAGCUAGUUGGCGGGGUAAAGGCCCACCAAGGCGACGAUCCGUAGCUGGUCUGAGAGGAUGAUCAGCCACAAUGGAAAUGAGACACGGUCCAGACUCCUACGGGAGGCAGCAGUGGGGAAUAUUGGACAAUGGGCGCAAGCCUGAUCCAGCCAUACCGCGUGGGUGAAGAAGGCCUUCGGGUUGUAAAGCCCUUUUGUUGGGAAAGAAAAGCAGCAGGUUAAUACCCCGCUGUUCUGACGGUACCCAAAGAAUAAGCACCGGCUAACUUCGUG